CAGACAUGGUUGCCAGAUUGAGCUUACUUGAUUUUGCUAUUUAUAAAAUGAAAAAUGAAAUGGGACAAAUUUUAUGGUUGAUAAUUUUGUCUAGGCUUCAUUUGGUUAUUAUAAAUUGGGAUAGUUUAGCGUAAAUUGGACGGGUUUUAAAUUAUCCCCACUGUUUUGGAAGCAAGUCAAGGCAACCCCGAUGAAAUGAAACCAAAAAUUAUCGGUACACGGCCACGUUCACUUUUAAACACCCGACCAGUUUUUGACACUGCUUUUUGAGAAAUGGCCUCCACAGUGACCACAGAUGCUCAUGGAGUCAGGGUGGUGACCCAGGUCAUUCCUCUGGUGAGUCCAGAGACUGUCCAGUGUCCCGGUCAGAACAAAGACAGCAAGACUAAAGUACCUGAAGCCCCGUACAUGACCAGGAUGUUCCUGAAGGGAGAGCCUGUAGCAUUAGGGACUGUGCAGAUCAUGAUUGGGAUCGUGAUGAUAGCUUUGGGAGCAGUUACUUGGUUCACACAAAUUCUGUAUGGUGAAAUCCCUCUGGGCCUUGGACUAUCAUUUAUCUUCUCUGGAUCUGUAACCUUGGGUGCACACAAGGGAACCUGUCCUCCAAUUAUUAAAAGCACAAUUGCCCUGAACAUCAUCAGUGCUGUACUUGCCAUGUCCGGCAUCUGCUACUUCUGCUUUGCACUUGCCAUAAAAGCUCAUUUGGAUGCUUGUAGUGAUGAUCAUGAGAAAAAGUUCUACUACACCGGCUACUAUGACUGCCAGUUUGCAGCUAGGCGUCUGCAGAACUUAAUAAGCGGAAUAAAGGGCAUACUUUUGAUUUUAUCCGUGCUGGAGGUGUGCGUGUGUACCACAACUGUUGUCUUUUCCUGCAAGGCCAACCUACAUGCAUCUGGGACUAAAAUGGGUGUAUUCCAGCCUUGUGCCCUGUGUUUCAAUGAUAGACUCCACCGUCACCCUGACCAGGAUAUAAUGAUUACUGAAGAAGAAUGAAUACAUGGAUUAUCCACUCUAACUACAUUUGUUAAAAUGUAGCUAAAACUACACCAUCUUGCCAUAACUUUCCUCCUUCCAUAAAACAUAUUGACAUCUACCUAAAAAUACAUCUCAGUUAUGUUCACUGUAACCAAGAUUAUGCACUUCAUAUAUUUUCCCUAAUAAGCUGUUGUCAUUUAUGCAUAAUACAUAGUUUUUAAUCAAU
ensembl:lncRNA